rnacentral:tRNA from 1 species
GGCGCUGUGGCUUAGUUGGUCAAAGUGCCUGUCUAGUAAACAAGAGAUCCUGGGUUCACAUACCAGCAGUGCUU